CAGCAGCCGCGGUAAUACGAAGGGUGCAAGCGUUACUCGGAAUUACUGGGCGUAAAGCGUGCGUAGGUGGUGGUUUAAGUCCGUUGUGAAAGCCCUGGGCUCAACCUGGGAAUUGCAGUGGAUACUGGGUCACUAGAGUGUGGUAGAGGAUAGUGGAAUUUCCGGUGUGGCAGUGAAAUGCGUAGAGAUCGGAAGGAACAUCUGUGGCGAAGGCGACUAUCUGGGCCAACACUGACACUGAGGCACGAAAGCGUGGGGAGCAAACAGGAUUAGAUACCCCGGUAGUCCCUGUCUCUUAUAC
rnacentral:rRNA from 1 species